rnacentral:rRNA from 1 species
CCUACGGGAGGCAUCAGUGGGGAAUAUUGGGCAAUGGGCGCAAGCCUGACCCAGCAACGCCGCGUGAAGGAAGAAGGCUUUCGGGUUUUAAACUUCUUUUAUUGAGGACGAAACAAAUGACGGUACUCAAUGAAUAAGCCACGGCUAACUACGUGCCAGCAGCAGCGGGAAUACGUAGGUGGCAAGCGUUCUCCGGAUUUACUGGGUGUAAAGGGCGUGUAGGCUGGACUGCAAGUCAGAUGGGAAAACCAUGGGCGAAAACCAUGGCCUGCAUUUGAAACUGUAGUUCUUGAGUGAUGGAGAGGCAGGCGGAAUGCGGUGUGUAGCGGUGAAAUGCGUAGAUAUACGGAGGAACACCAGUGGCGAAGGCGGCCUGCUGGACAUUAACUGACGCUGAGGCGCGAAAGCGUGGGGAGCAAACAGGAUUAGAUACCCUUGUAGUC